AUUUCAGAUUUUUCAUUUAAUCUUUUUAUUUUCUUUAAUUCAUAUUAAUUCUAUUUUUAAUCCUAAAAAUAUGGGACUUUCACCAAAAAUCUUUAAAUAUUUUCCUCUUUCAUAUUUUGAAUUAAAAUUAUUUUUUGGAUUAAUUUUGGUAUUUUUCAUGAAUUUUAUUGUUUUUGUACAUAUUUUUAAUUGUUUUAAAAUACUUUUGACUUUCCAAAAAUCAUGAUAUUUUUUUGUCUAAGGUCCUUUGACCUUGUUUGACCUAG
rnacentral:lncRNA from 1 species